rnacentral:rRNA from 1 species
CCUACGGGGGGCAGCAGUGAGGAAUAUUGGUCAAUGGACGAGACCCUGAACCAGCCGAGUAGCGUGAAGGAUGACUGCCCUAUGGGUUGUAAACUUCUUUUAUAUGGGCAUAAAAUGUUCCACGUUUGGGAUUUUGUAUGUACCAUAUGAAUAAGGAUCGGCUAACUCCGUGCCAGCAGCCGCGGUAAUACGGAGGAUCCGAGCGGUAUCCGGAUUUAUUGGGUUUAAAGGGAGCGUAGGUGGAUUGUUAAGUCAGCGGUAAAAAUGCGGGGCUCAACCCCGUCGUGCCGUUGAAACUGAUGUUCUUGAGUGGGCGAGAAGUAUGCGGAAGGCGUGGUGUAGCGGUGAAAUGCAUAGAUAGCACGCAGAACUCCGAUUGCGAAGGCAGCAUACCGGCGCCCAACUGACGCUGAAGCACGAAAGCGUGGGUAUCGAACAGGAUUAGAUACCCCAGUAGUC